AACGAACGCUGGCGGCAGGCCUAACACAUGCAAGUCGAACGCCGUAGCAAUACGGAGUGGCAGACGGGUGAGUAACACGUGGGAACCUUCCCGAUGGUACGGAAUAGCUCAGGGAAACUUGGGGUAAUACCGUAUACGCCCGCAAGGGGAAAGAUUUAUCGCCAUUGGAUGGGCCCGCGGCGGAUUAGCUAGUUGGUGAGGUAAAGGCUCACCAAGGCGACGAUCCGUAGCUGGUCUGAGAGGACGAUCAGCCACAUUGGGACUGAGACACGGCCCAAACUCCUACGGGAGGCAGCAGUGGGGAAUAUUGGACAAUGGGCGCAAGCCUGAUCCAGCCAUGCCGCGUGAGUGAUGAAGGCCUUAGGGUUGUAAUGCUCUUUUAGCGGGGAAGAUAAUGACGGUACCCGCAGAAUAAGCCCCGGCUAACUUCGUGCCAGCAGCCGCAGUAAUAC
rnacentral:rRNA from 1 species